GAUGAACGCUGGCGGCGUGCCUAAUACAUGCAAGUCGAGCGAACAGACGAGGAGCUUGCUCCUCUGACGUUAGCGGCGGACGGGUGAGUAACACGUGGAUAACCUACCUAUAAGACUGGGAUAACUUCGGGAAACCGGAGCUAAUACCGGAUAAUAUAUUGAACCGCAUGGUUCAAUAGUGAAAGACGGUUUUGCUGUCACUUAUAGAUGGAUCCGCGCCGCAUUAGCUAGUUGGUAAGGUAACGGCUUACCAAGGCGACGAUGCGUAGCCGACCUGAGAGGGUGAUCGGCCACACUGGAACUGAGACACGGUCCAGACUCCUACGGGAGGCAGCAGUAGGGAAUCUUCCGCAAUGGGCGAAAGCUUGACGGAGCAACGCCGCGUGAGUGAUGAAGGUCUUCGGAUCGUAAAACUCCGUUAUUAGGGAAGAACAAAUGUGUAAGUAACUAUGCACGUCUUGACGGUACCUAAGCAGAAAGCCACGGCUAACUACGU
rnacentral:rRNA from 1 species